rnacentral:rRNA from 1 species
UACGUAGGGUGCAAGCGUUGUCCGGAAUUAUUGGGCGUAAAGAGCUCGUAGGCGGUCUGUCGCGUCUGCUGUGAAAACUCGGGGCUUAACUCCGGGCCUGCAGUGGGUACGGGCAGACUAGAGUGCGGUAGGGGAGACUGGAAUUCCUGGUGUAGCGGUGAAAUGCGCAGAUAUCAGGAGGAACACCAGUGGCGAAGGCGGCUAUCUGGACGGUUUCUGACGCUAAGACGCGAAAGCGUGGGGAGCAAACAGG